rnacentral:lncRNA from 1 species
AGGGGCUGCUCUUGCUGAAGCUGGUGAGCCACGCUUCAAGAUCCACUGCCCUAUGGUGACGUUGCACCAUGUGGCUGAUGUCAUCUCCAGCAUCUCCAAGGAUUCCUACAGCAGGGAUUUGCAGAACAAAGCAGGACAGAAGGAUAGGCAUCACAGACAGAAUUCCAAGGAACAAACAGCCUGCUUAAGCUAGAGAAGACAAUGAUCGAUCUUAGCAGGAACAAAGGCAAGGGAGAUAUGUCCAGCUGACAAUAUCGAAGGUCCAGAGUGGAGUAACCUGACCUUGAAGAGGUAAGAGGUAGAAGCGGUCAAUUAUGGU